rnacentral:rRNA from 1 species
UACGUAGGGUGCAAGCGUUGUCCGGAAUUAUUGGGCGUAAAGAGCUCGUAGGCGGUCUGUCACGUCGGCUGUGAAAACCCGAGGCUCAACCUCGGGCCUGCAGUCGAUACGGGCAAACUAGAGUACUGCAGGGGAGACUGGAAUUCCUGGUGUAGCGGUGAAAUGCGCAGAUAUCAGGAGGAACACCGGUGGCGAAGGCGGGUCUCUGGGCAGUAACUGACGCUGGGGAGCGAAAGCGUGGGGAGCGAACAGG